UCCUGGGGCUGAAGUAGGUCCCAAGGGUUGGGCUGUUCGCCCAUUAAAGCGGUACGCGAGCUGGGUUCAGAACGUCGUGAGACAGUUCGGUCCCUAUCUGUCGUGGGCGUAGGAAAUUUGAGAGGAGCUGUCCUUAGUACGAGAGGACCGGGAUGGACGUACCGCUGGUGCACCAGUUGUUCCGCCAGGAGCACGGCUGGGUAGCUAAGUACGGAAGGGAUAAGCGCUGAAAGCAUCUAAGCGUGAAGCCCCCCUCAAGAUGAGAUUUCCCAGUAUGUAAGACCCCUUGAAGACGACGAGGUAGAUAGGUUGGAGGUGGAAGUGCAGCAAUGCAUGGAGCUGACCAAUACUAAUCGGUCGAGGGCUUAUCCUA
rnacentral:ncRNA from 1 species